AUUGAACGCUGGCGGCAGGCUUAACACAUGCAAGUCGAGCGGGGGAGGGUAGCUUGCUACUGGACCUAGCGGCGGACGGGUGAGUAAUGCUUAGGAAUCUGCCUAUUAGUGGGGGACAACAUCUCGAAAGGGAUGCUAAUACCGCAUACGUCCUACGGGAGAAAGCAGGGGAUCUUCGGACCUUGCGCUAAUAGAUGAGCCUAAGUCGGAUUAGCUAGUUGGUGGGGUAAAGGCCUACCAAGGCGACGAUCUGUAGCGGGUCUGAGAGGAUGAUCCGCCACACCGGGACUGGGACACGGCCCAGGCUCCUACGGGAGGCAGCAGUGGGGAAUAUUGGACGAUGGGGGGAACCCUGAUCCAGCCAUGCCGCGUGUGUGAAGAAGGCAUUAUGGUUGUAAAGCACUUUAAGCGAGGAGGAGGCUACUCUAGUUAAUACCUAGGGAUAGUGGACGUUACUCGCAGAAUAAGCACCGGCUAACUCUGUGCCAGCCGCCGCAGUAA
rnacentral:rRNA from 1 species